GAGGCCCCUAAAGACAUUGCAGGUGUUGCUGCUGUGUCAAAUGUGCAUCAGUAGGUAGCAGAGAGGAGAAAGGCUAUGUCUAUGCUUAAUGUUAUGACCUGUGAACAUCUGGGUGAUUAGCCUGAAGCU